rnacentral:lncRNA from 1 species
CCUUCAAGCAGCUUUCAACAUUAAAACAUCAUGUCACCAAUCAUCAACAAAAUAAGGAUGCAAACACAUACCUCUAAGAUCUUCCAUGGUUCUCUUUCUUUCCUACCUUUCAUUCGACCUGAUCAUCAUGAUAGAAUGGUCUGUCACACCAACACUUGAGAAUAUUGUUUCUCUUGUCAUCCCUAUUCAAACUCUCACCAUUUCUCUC